rnacentral:pre_miRNA from 1 species
AAUUUCAACUGAAAAAGUUAUGAAUAUAAAAGUUGUAGAACUCAUCAAGAGCUAAAACUUUUAUUUUUAGUCAUUUCUUCAUCCGACCAAGUGAUAGUAACAUCUUUCAUAAAAUUUGCAUAUAUCUCUUAUAUCUUAUGAAACCAUAUACGAUAUAUGUAAAUUUUGUAAACAAUAUUGCUAUCGCUUUGUCAGAUGAAAAAAUGAUUAAAAUAAAAGUUAUAGAUCUUGAUAAGUUACACAACUUUGUUGUUAAUGACUUUUUUAGUUGAAAUC